GCCACACAGAGACGUCUAGGUCAUGCAGGAGGCGCCCGGCCCCGGCCCGCUCCCGCCGCCCCAGACCCCUCCUCUCAUCCGACAGAAAGACAGACAAGAAGGGUUCCCGACCUGUCGUGCCCUGCAUGUUCAGAGUCUGUCAUGUUUGGUCAAGAACGGGGCGGGGCUGGAGGGCAGGUCUGCGAGGCCGGCGGCGGCGGGGCGCGGGGAAGACCCCCCGCGCCGCCUGCGGGAACCUGCUCCCGGCCGCCGCCGACAGGUGACGAAGUGGUAAAAACUCACGGUUACUAGUGAGCGACACAGACACAGACUUUCCAGUCUAUUAACAACCACGCCAGAGAGAUGGGGCUCUAACUGCAAACACUGGGCAACGGCCCCGCGCUGCCGGCGCUGCCGCUCUAGUCUCUAUUCGCCGCCGGUGGCUGUGGCGUGGGAGCGGGCGGGCGGCGUGCAGCGACGCGGGGAUUUGGACAGUGGCCGUAACGGUGAUUUCUCCUCACCAACAUGGCGGCACCCGAAACAGGCGGCUCGAGAAAAUGGCGCCGGCCGCAACACCUUGCCCGGGACUAAAGGGCAAGAGAGAUUCCUCCGCGAGCCGCGGCCCUUGCCCAGCCCGCCGGGGCCGAGCGCGUUGACCAUUGGAGGAGAGUGCCCGUCAAUCACCUGCAGGGGCGGGUCUUCGCCCUUCUCUGUGCAGCGGCGGAGGCGGCAGCCUAGUGGCGGGGCCGGGCGGCGAGAGACGCGGCCGGAUGGCUCCUCGAGUGUCUGCAGGAGGGGGAGGCAGCCCACGGGACCUACGAGGGCCACCAGCGCUUCUGCUCCCGGCGCAGUACGGGCCGCGGUUUUUCCUGCGAGACGCCCGCCGCCCGAGGAGUUCCAGACGCACCAAGCAAACGGGCCCCAAAACCGUUAGCCGAGGCGGGCAGGGGUGGGAUAACAAAGAACAAGGCGGCUGUAGAGUCCUUAAAUUUUUUUGUGAAAACCUUUGUUCUUGUAAUAAUAGGGAAAUGCAGUUUCUCCUUCACAGUUGUAGCAAGUAUCUGUUUUUGUAACGUUUAGUGUUCAGAAUCAUGUUUUAAGGAAAAUAGCUUGCCAUGCAGUUUUUUCUUGUAUUUGCUGUUAAAUUUACCCAAUUAUUACUUAAAUAGGAAUAGCUAUUGAAAUAAUUAUAUAAACGUUACUUUAUUUCGUAAUAAUAUUAACAUGUAAAAUGUAUGCGA
rnacentral:lncRNA from 1 species